CCUACGGGAGGCAACAGUGAGGAAUAUUGGUCAAUGGACGGAAGUCUGAACCAGCCAUGCCGCGUGCAGGAAGACGGCUCUAUGAGUUGUAAACUGCUUUUGUACAAGGGUAAACCUGAAUACGUGUAUUCAGCUGAAAGUACUGUACGAAUAAGGAUCGGCUAAAUCCGUGCCAGCAGCCGCGGUAAUACGGAGGAUCCAAGCGUUAUCCGGAUUUAUUGGGUUUAAAGGGUGCGUAGGCGGAUUUGUAAGUUAGAGGUGAAAUGUCCGAGCUUAACUCGGGAACUGCCUCUAAUACUGGUGAUCGAGAGAGUAGAUGCGGUAGGCGGAAUGUAUGGUGUAGCGGUGAAAUGCUUAGAGAUCAUACAGAACACCGAUUGCGAAGGCAGCUUACCAAUCUAUAUCUGACGUUGAGGCACGAAAGCGUGGGGAGCAAACAGGAUUAGAUACCCGGGUAGUC
rnacentral:rRNA from 1 species